rfam:Oryza glumipatula chromosome 2, whole genome shotgun sequence.
GAAAAGACAAACCCUGGGUUUCCGUGUCUAACUCUAACUAUCUGUCUUAUAUAAAAUUUUUUUAUAAUUCGUAUUUUUAUUGUUGUUAGAUGAUAAAACAUGAUUAAUAUUUUAUGCGUGACUUAUCUUUUAAAUUUUUUUUUAUAAUUUUUUCAAAUAAGACGGACGGUCAAACGUUUGACACGAAAAACAGAGUUUGUCUUUUUU